rnacentral:rRNA from 1 species
GGGACACGUGGUAUCCUGUCUGAAUAUGGGGGGACCAUCCUCCAAGGCUAAAUACUCCUGACUGACCGAUAGUGAACCAGUACCGUGAGGGAAAGGCGAAAAGAACCCCGGCGAGGGGAGUGAAAAAGAACCUGAAACCGUGUACGUACAAGCAGUGGGAGCACCCUUUUGGGUGUGACUGCGUACCUUUUGUAUAAUGGGUCAGCGACUUAUAUUCUGUAGCAAGGUUAACCGAAUAGGGGAGCCGGAGGGAAACCGAGUCUUAAUUGGGCGUUAAGUUGCAGGGUAUAGACCCGAAACCCGGUGAUCUAGCCAUGGGCAGGUUGAAGGUUGGGUAACACUAACUGGAGGACCGAACCGACUAAUGUUGAAAAAUUAGCGGAUGACCUGUGGCUGGGGGUGAAAGGCCAAUCAAACCGGGAGAUAGCUGGUUCUCCCCGAAAGCUAUUUAGGUAGCGCCUCGUGAAUUCAUCUCCGGGGGUAGAGCACUGUUUCGGCUAGGGGGCCAUCCCGGCUUACCAACCCGAUGCAAACUGCGAAUACCGGAGAAUGUUAUCACGGGAGACACACGGCGGGUGCUAACGUCCGUCGUGAAGAGGGAAACAACCCAGACCGCCAGCUAAGGUCCCAAAGUCAUGGUUAAGUGGGAAACGAUGUGGGAAGGCCCAGACAGCCAGGAUGUUGGCUUAGAAGCAGCCAUCAUUUAAAGAAAGCGUAAUAGCUCACUGGUCGAGUCGGCCUGCGCGGAAGAUGUAACGGGGCUAAACCAUGCACCGAAGCUGCGGCAGCGACGCUCAGGCGUUGUUGGGUAGGGGAGCGUUCUGUAAGCCUGUGAAGGUGGCCUGUGAGGGUUGCUGGAGGUAUCAGAAGUGCGAAUGCUGACAUAAGUAACGAUAAAGCGGGUGAAAAGCCCGCUCGCCGGAAGACCAAGGGUUCCUGUCCAACGUUAAUCGGGGCAGGGUGAGUCGACCCCUAAGGCGAGGCCGAAAGGCGUAGUCGAUGGGAAACGGGUUAAUAUUCCCGUACUUGGUGUUACUGCGAAGGGGGGACGGAGAAGGCUAUGUUGGCCGGGCGACGGUUGUCCCGGUUUAAGCGUGUAGGUGUGUGUUCCAGGUAAAUCCGGUUCACUUUAACACUGAGGCGUGACGACGAGGCACUACGGUGCUGAAGCAACAAAUGCCCUGCUUCCAGGAAAAGCCUCUAAGCAUCAGGUAACAUCAAAUCGUACCCCAAACCGACACAGGUGGUCAGGUAGAGAAUACCAAGGCGCUUGAGAGAACUCGGGUGAAGGAACUAGGCAAAAUGGUGCCGUAACUUCGGGAGAAGGCACGCUGACACGUAGGUGAAGUGAUUUACUCAUGGAGCUGAAGUCAGUCGAAGAUACCAGCUGGCUGCAACUGUUUAUUAAAAACACAGCACUGUGCAAACACGAAAGUGGACGUAUACGGUGUGACGCCUGCCCGGUGCCGGAAGGUUAAUUGAUGGGGUCAGCGCAAGCGAAGCUCCUGAUCGAAGCCCCGGUAAACGGCGGCCGUAACUAUAACGGUCCUAAGGUAGCGAAAUUCCUUGUCGGGUAAGUUCCGACCUGCACGAAUGGCGUAAUGAUGGCCAGGCUGUCUCCACCCGAGACUCAGUGAAAUUGAACUCGCUGUGAAGAUGCAGUGUACCCGCGGCAAGACGGAAAGACCCCGUGAACCUUUACUAUAGCUUGACACUGAACAUUGAGCCUUGAUGUGUAGGAUAGGUGGGAGGCUUUGAAGCGUGGACGCCAGUCUGCGUGGAGCCGACCUUGAAAUACCACCCUUUAAUGUUUGAUGUUCUAACGUGGACCCGUUACCCGGGUUGCGGACAGUGUCUGGUGGGUAGUUUGACUGGGGCGGUCUCCUCCUAAAGAGUAACGGAGGAGCACGAAGGUUGGCUAAUCCUGGUCGGACAUCAGGAGGUUAGUGCAAUGGCAUAAGCCAGCUUGACUGCGAGCGUGACGGCGCGAGCAGGUGCGAAAGCAGGUCAUAGUGAUCCGGUGGUUCUGAAUGGAAGGGCCAUCGCUCAACGGAUAAAAGGUACUCCGGGGAUAACAGGCUGAUACCGCCCAAGAGUUCAUAUCGACGGCGGUGUUUGGCACCUCGAUGUCGGCUCAUCACAUCCUGGGGCUGAAGUAGGUCCCAAGGGUAUGGCUGUUCGCCAUUUAAAGUGGUACGCGAGCUGGGUUUAGAACGUCGUGAGACAGUUCGGUCCCUAUCUGCCGUGGGCGCUGGAGAACUGAGGGGGGCUGCUCCUAGUACGAGAGGACCGGAGUGGACGCAUCACUGGUGUUCGGGUUGUCAUGCCAAUGGCACUGCCCGGUAGCUAAAUGCGGAAGAGAUAAGUGCUGAAAGCAUCUAAGCACGAAACUUGCCCCGAGAUGAGUUCUCCCUGAGACUUAGAGUCUCCUGAAGGAACGUUGAAGACGACGA